rnacentral:rRNA from 1 species
UACCAGCACCCCGAGUGGUCGGGACGUUUAUUGGGCCUAAAGCAUCCGUAGCCGGUUCUACAAGUCUUCCGUUAAAUCCAGCUGCUUAACAGAUGGGUUGCGGAAGAUACUAUGGAGCUAGGAGGCGGGAGAGGCAAGCGGUACUCGAUGGGUAGGGGUAAAAUCCGUUGAUCCAUUGAAGACCACCAGUGGCGAAGGCGGCUUGCCAGAACGCGCUCGACGGUGAGGGAUGAAAGCUGGGGGAGCAAACCGG